rfam:Triticum aestivum genome assembly, contig: Triticum_aestivum_CS42_TGACv1_scaffold_165081_2DL
CAACUACUCCCUCUAUCCCAAAUUUCUUGUCUUAGAUUUGUCUAGGUACGGAUGUAUCGAAUACUAAAAUGUGACUUGAUACAUCCAUAUCUAGACAAAUCUAAGACAAGAAUUUUGGGACGGAGGGAGUACUUU